UACGGAGGGUGCGAGCGUUGUCCGGAAUCAUUGGGCGUAAAGGGCGCGUAGGUGGCCCGGUCAGUCGAUGGUGAAAGCGCGGGGCUCAACUCCGCGUCGGCCGUCGAUACUGCUGGGCUUGAGCACUGUAGAGGCAGGCGGAAUUCCGGGUGUAGCGGUGGAAUGCGUAGAGAUCCGGAAGAACACCGGUGGCGAAGGCGGCAUUCUGGACCGAUAUUGACGCUGAGGAGCGAAAGCGUGGGGAGCGAACAGG
rnacentral:rRNA from 1 species